AUACGGAGGGUCCAAGCGUUAUUCGGAUUCAUUGGGUUUAAAGGGUCCGCAGGCGGGAAAAUAAGUCAGUGGUGAAAGCCUACAGCUCAACUGUAGAACUGCCAUUGAUACUGUUUUUCUUGAGUAUAGAUGAAGUGGGCGGAAUAUAUCAUGUAGCGGUGAAAUGCAUAGAUAUGAUAUAGAACACCGAUUGCGAAGGCAGCUCACUAAACUAUUACUGACGCUCAGGGACGAAAGCGUGGGGAGCGAACAGGAUUAGAUACCCUAGUAGUCC
rnacentral:rRNA from 1 species